rnacentral:lncRNA from 1 species
CAGAAAACAUAAACUAGUCAAAGAAAUUCAUAAUCUCCCCCAAUAGACCACACUUAAACUACACAGUGUCUUCAAUGUGUCACAAGCAUAAGAUCACAAUCAUAACAAUCAACAGAUCAUGGACAAGUGCAAUAAAAGUAGGUAAAGGGGGAGAGAAGGGAAAAGGAAACUCCCCUGAUCAUGGUGGCAGUUGCCAAUUUUGGACUUUCAGGGAGAUGUCUUCCACCCCAGGAUUCAAAAAGGAGGUGUUGAGGAAGAACUGCUUCAUCCUCCAGAUUUGAUCAAGUAGGGAGAUGUCCUCCACAGCUGGAUCCAAGAAGAAGUGAUUGUUGAUGAGCAGGUUCAGCUGGUGCCUAUUAAUCUUCAAACUGUCGGCACCUUUGUCUUCCACCAUGGGUGUUUGUUGAUCAAACUCGUGUGUACCUCCUGCAACAUGGUUAGUGCAAUGUGGUUCCAAAGAAAUAAUAUGCAGAGGUAUAACACCCAAUCCCAGUGUAAGAGGCUGAACCUCAGAUAAACUCUCAGAACAUGAAUCACUUUCAAAUUCAGAAGCAAUAUCAACAACAGAAUUAGAUUCAUGUUCAGUGCAUGGAGAAUAAACAUUCAGACAAGAUGUUGAGUGGUGGAAGGUGAAGCUGGUCUACCUAUCUCAAAAGUGGUACUCAUGUCAACCUGGUCCUCAAAUUCUUGAUCAGUCUCCUCAGGUGCAAGACUGGGGACAUAGGAGUGUGGGAAAGUAGGUGGCACAACACUAAGCUCAUGACUCUGCUCCUCAUCUCCUAUGUGGAUGGCAUCAACAUCGUCUGAAAGUUGAACAGUCUGAAAUGGUGAUUCCUUUGAAACAUAAGACUAUUCCUCAGUGAGUUGAGUGGCCAUCUGCCCCAUCUGAUCAGUCAAACUCUAAAAGGAAGCUUUGGUCUCCUGCUGAAACUCCAUGCUCACUUGCUGGAACUGAAUGUUCAGAAUAGUCAUCUGCUCCAAUAACUCCUUCAAUGUAGGCUCAGAAGUAGUGGAAGGAUGAGGAGUUGCUUGUGCAGGCUCAUGAAACUGCAACUACUAUGGUUCCUGGACAGGGGAAGGCAUACAAGCAUUCUGGAAUGGUGGUUCUUAAUAUUGAUGUUGUGAAGGGCGGAAUCUUUCCAAAAACAGUUGCUUAAGAUCUUCCCAAUUGGUGAUGGAUCCACAAGGAAGACAAAACCGCCAAUACCUUGCCGCUCCAACUAACGAGUAUUUAAAUGCCCUUAAGAACAUGUCCUCAUCCGAGACAUCUGGAGGUUUCAUUGAAGAGCAUAUGGUGUAGAACUCCUCCAAAUGUCUAUAUGGGCAUUCACCUGCAAAACCAUGAAACCUAGACAGCAAAUAUAUCAGUCCAGUGUUGAAAACACAACGAAUAUCCUCCUUAUCAAUUGGAAACGGCUCCCUAGGAGAACUCUCAUGAGAUGGAGGAGGAACCGUUCUGUUCUCAACAUAGAAAUCAGUAGAGUAUAUAUGAGAAGCAAUAUCAGAGUAACAAGCAGGAGGAGAAUCAUAGACACAAGCAGAAUGAGAAUUACUCACAUAGCCAAAAUAGG